GAUGAACGCUGGCGGCGUGCUUAACACAUGCAAGUCGAACGGUGAACGAGGGAGCUUGCUCCCUCCGGAUCAGUGGCGAACGGGUGAGUAACACGUGAGCAAUCUGCCCUGGACUCUGGGAUAAGCGUUGGAAACGACGUCUAAUACCGGAUACGAGGCGUGGGGGCAUCCCCAACGCCUGGAAAGAACUUCGGUCCAGGAUGAGCUCGCGGCCUAUCAGCUAGUUGGUGAGGUAACGGCUCACCAAGGCGACGACGGGUAGCCGGCCUGAGAGGCUGACAGGCCACACUGGGACUGAGACACGGCCCAGACUCCUACGGGAGGCAGCAGUGGGGAAUAUUGCACAAUGGGCGCAAGCCUGAUGCAGCAACGGCGCGUGAGGGACGACGGCCUUCGUGUUGUAAACCUCUUUUAGCAGGGAAGAAGCGAAAGUGACGGUACCUGCAGAAAAAGCACCGGCUAACUACGUGCCAGCCGCCGCAGUAACAC
rnacentral:rRNA from 1 species